AAAAAAAUCCCUCAAUGUUUUCAAAGAUGAACAUAUGCCUGUUCAGAAAAUAAUUUCUAGAAGCUUUUCUAUUAGAAGCAGAUAAAAGAGGAGAAGACUGGAAUUAGACUUGUCUUUCUGACCAUCCUUCCUUACCUCUGGAAAAUUUCAAUCCCCAACAUGGAAGGAUAAGAGA